rnacentral:lncRNA from 1 species
UUGUUUGCUGCUGGUAUCUUGGUUGUGGGUGGAACAACUGCAUAUAUGCAGUCUCGUUCGAGGAUUAAAAAGUCUGAUUCAUUUGGUAACUAUAACGGGGUGGAAGAUGAUGAAGAAAAUUCAGAUAAGACAAUUACAAAAUGCAACAAUGCAAAGAAAACUGCAAAGAAAGGGGGCCUGAAAUCACUGAAAGUUCUAGCUGCCGUCCUUCUGUCUGAGAUGGGGAAAGUGGGUGCAGCAGACCUCUUGGCCAUGAUAGCCAUUGCGGUGAGUCCUUAAUAUUUUGUUUCCAGUUAUAAUUUUUAUAAGGAUUCUCUAUUGAUCAUGUAUCAAUAUGUUGGGGCCGUCUUAUCUGUUUCAGUCAGCAGCAAUUUCUUUCUUGAUAUAGUAGUUCCAUAUGUUCCCUCCGAGUGCAGUACCGUACCGAUCUUUAUCAAAUGGGCCAUUCCCACAUUUGACAUCUUAAAAUUUUGUGCUUGAUAAUUGCUCAAGUUGCUUGAGGGGCUUCUGUUACUUUCAUUUUGCUCAACAGCUCCACUUUGUGAUGUCAUCAUGGUUAGUCAGCUUUGUUAAGAGGCACACAUUGAACCUAACAAUUGAGGUUGCUCAUUCAUGC